CCGGGUUUUCGGGGAUCAUUUCUAUAGUUAAUUACUGGAGAAGUUUGUCAUGUGAAGGUAUAGAGCGCCAGAAACCACGAGGAAGAGAUGCAGGUUCUCUACUAAGAAUGAAGUGGACUCUUGAAAAAACUACAUUUUGCCAUUGAGGAGGAUUCUUUCCUCUUCAGGGGAGUACCAAGGAGAGAAUGUAGUCUAGGGA
rnacentral:snoRNA from 1 species